CUUUUAUAGAGAAUAAAGAGGAAAAGACUCAUGCAAAGAAGGCUAUGACUGAAACUAAGAAGAAAGAAAAAGAAGGGAGAAAAGAGAAAGCUCAUGAGAAGACAGCUGUCCCUGAAAGCAAAAAAGCAGAUAAAAAAGAAGCUGCUGCAUCCAAAGAGCUCAAAA